rnacentral:guide_RNA from 1 species
AUAAAACAAAUGGAACGAAUCGUAGACAGUAAUUAUAUGAU